GUGAAUCAUCAAAUUUUUGAACGCAAAUUGCGCUUCCUGGCAUCCCGGGAAGUAUGCCUGUUUGAGGGUCAGUAUUAAUAAACAAUCGGUUUGGUUACAAAUUGUGUCGUUUCCGGAGUGUGGGCUAUCUUAACAUUUUUGGUUAAGAGGCUUAAAAUUGACCUUUUUUUUGCAUUUUUUGACUUACAUAUCUUUUUUUUUAUUCGGCUUA
rnacentral:misc_RNA from 1 species